rnacentral:rRNA from 1 species
AACGAACGCUGGCGGCGCGCCUAAUACAUGCAAGUCGAGCGAGAAGGUGUAGCAAUACACUUGUAAAGCGGCGAACGGGUGAGGAAUACAUGGGUAAUCUACCAUCGAGUGGGGAAUAACCAGCCGAAAGGUUGGCUAAUACCGCGUACGCUUCCGAGUCUUCGGGCUUGGAAGGAAAGCCGCACUGUGAGUGCGGCGCUCUUUGAUGAGCUCAUGUCCUAUCAGCUUGUUGGUAGGGUAACGGCCUACCAAGGCUUUGACGGGUAGCUGGUCUGAGAGGACGAUCAGCCACACUGGCACUGCGACACGGGCCAGACUCCUACGGGAGGCAGCAGUAAGGAAUAUUGCGCAAUGGGCGAAAGCCUGACGCAGCGACGCCGCGUGGGGGAUGAAGGUCUUCGGAUUGUAAACCCCUUUCGGGAGGGAAGAUGGAGCGAGCAAUCGUUCGGACGGUACCUCCAGAAGCAGCCACGGCCAACUUCGUGCCAG